AUGGAGUUUGGGCUCAGCUGGGUUUUCCUUGUUGCUAUUUUAAGAGGUGUCCAGUGUGAGGUGCAGCUGGUGGAGUCUGGGGGAGGCCUAGUGAGGCCUGUGGGGUCUCUGAGACUCUCCUGUGCAGCCUCUGGGUUCACUGUCAGUAGCUAUGAUAUGAACUGGGUCUGCCAGGCUACAGGGAAGGGACUGGGGUGGGUCUCACACAUUAGUAGUGGUGGUAGCACAUACUAUGCCAACUCUGUGAAGGGUCGAUUCACCAUCUCCAGAGACAAUGGCAAGAACGAGCUCUACCUGCAAAUGAACAACCUGAGAUCUGAGGACACAGCUGUGUAUUACUGUGUGAGAGGCACAGUGAGGGGAAGUCAGUGUGAGCCCAGACACAAACCUCCCUGGGAGACAAGAGGAUUAGGCUGCAGGGUAUGCUCAGUACACCAGGGGGCACCCUGGGUACACUGA